rnacentral:rRNA from 1 species
GACGAACGCUGGCGGCGUGCCUAAUACAUGCAAGUAGAACGCAGUUUCGAACGGGUGAGUAACGCGUAGGUAACCUGCCUCAUAGCGGGGGAUAACUCUUGGAAACGAUAGCUAAUACCGCAUACUUUGAGAUGGACCUGCGUUGUAUUAGGUAGUUGGUGAGGUAAAGGCUGACCAAGGCGACGAUACCUAGCCGACCUGAGAGGGGGAGCGGCCACACUGGAACGGAGACACGGCCCAGACUCCUACGGGAGGCAGCAGUAGGGAAUCUUGGGCAAUGGACGAAAGUCUGACCGAGCAACGCCGCGUGAGUGAAGAAGGUUUUCGGAUCGUAAAGCUCUGUUGUUAGAGAAGCGUUAUCUAACCAGAAAGCCACGGCUAACUACGUGCCAGCAGCCGCGGUAAUUC